rnacentral:ncRNA from 2 species
UAACUUUUUCGGGGCAGGGUAAGGUUAGUUUAAAAAUUGACCAAUUCCCGAUCGGUGGUAAAUUCUUAAGAAUAAGCCCACGAACCCGGCACUUACUAAGGUGAUUGCCAGGUGGAUCUGGUGAAAAGCCAGAGCCGACAGUAAAGUCUGGAUAGAAGAAGAAGUAA